AUUGAACGCUGGCGGCAGGCCUAACACAUGCAAGUCGAGCGGCAGCGGGUCCUUCGGGAUGCCGGCGAGCGGCGGACGGGUGAGUAAUGCCUAGGAAUCUGCCUGGUAGUGGGGGAUAACGUUCGGAAACGGACGCUAAUACCGCAUACGUCCUACGGGAGAAAGUGGGGGAUCUUCGGACCUCACGCUAUCAGAUGAGCCUAGGUCGGAUUAGCUAGUUGGUGGGGUAAAGGCUCACCAAGGCGACGAUCCGUAACUGGUCUGAGAGGAUGAUCAGUCACACUGGAACUGAGACACGGUCCAGACUCCUACGGGAGGCAGCAGUGGGGAAUAAUGGACAAUGGGCGAAAGCCUGAUCCAGCCAUGCCGCGUGUGUGAAGAAGGUCUUCGGAUUGUAAAGCACUUUAAGUUGGGAGGAAGGGCAGCUAGUUAAUACCUGGUUGUUUUGACGUUACCAACAGAAUAAGCACCGGCUAACUCUGUGCCAGCAGCCGCGGUAAGAC
rnacentral:rRNA from 1 species